rnacentral:lncRNA from 1 species
UGUUUGAUAUUCGAUUCAUAUCCAUAUCAGUUUAGAACAAAUAUAGAUAUUAAUUUUAAUAUUUAUUUUUUAUUCAUAUCCGUAUUUAUUAAAUAAUAUGAAUAUAUUAAUAUUUGAUUCAUCUUUUGUCGGUUUUCAGUCCUAUAAAAUGCUCAUAUUAUGUAGUCAUGUAUAAGGACGAUCAGCCUGAGUAUCAUGCUUCAACGUGACUGCGCACUCUGCGGUAAACGGACAUAUUUCCUGUGAUGGUGUAAUUCAGUAAUAUCUAGUGCAUCUGUUGUACUUAUCAGCAUCAAAUACCAUCAAUUUUUCUUCUUAAAACCAGGAAUUAGAAUAGGAAAACAUGGAUACCGGACCAGAUAAGAUUUUGAACUUCUCGCUAUUGGUAAACUUAUUCUG